rnacentral:rRNA from 1 species
UGGGGAAUAUUGGACAAUGGGCGAAAGCCUGAUCCAGCCAUGCCGCGUGAGUGAUGAAGGCCCUAGGGUUGUAAAGCUCUUUCACCGGUGAAGAUAAUGACGGUAACCGGAGAAGAAGCCCCGGCUAACUUCGUGCCAGCAGCCGCGGUAAUACGAAGGGGGCUAGCGUUGUUCGGAAUUACUGGGCGUAAAGCGCACGUAGGCGGAUUGUUAAGUCGGGGGUGAAAUCCCGGGGCUCAACCCCGGAACUGCCUUCGAUACUGGCAAUCUAGAGUCCGGAAGAGGUGAGUGGAAUUCCGAGUGCAGAGGUGAAAUUCGUAGAUAUUCGGAGGAACACCAGUGGCGAAGGCGGCUCACUGGUCCGGUACUGACGCUGAGGUGCGAAAGCGUGGGGAGCAAACA